rnacentral:rRNA from 1 species
CCCUUAGAUGUUCUGGGCUGCACGCGUGUUACAAUCGGGAGUACAACAAGAUUGCAAAUCCUAGUGGAUGAGUGGUUCUUCGAAAUUUUCUGAAGACUGGGAUAGUUGUUUGAAAUUAUUCAACUCAAACGAGGAAUUCCUUGUAAUUGUAAUUCAUUAUAUUGUAAUGAAUACGUCCCUGCCCUUUGUACACACCGCCCGUCGCUCCUACCGAUUGAACGAUCCGGUGAAUUAUUUGGAGUAGCUCUGGAAGUUGCAGAACUUCCUAUGUCACGAAAUUUUGUAAACCUUAUCGUUUAGAGGAAGGAAAAGUCGUAACA